GACGAACCGAGCGAACGUUGUUCGGAAUCACUGGGCUUAAAGGGCGCGUAGGCGGGCUGUCAAGUCUGGGGUGAAAUCCCACGGCUCAACCGUGGAACUGCCUUAGAUACUGACGGCCUCGAGGGAGAUAGGGGCGAGCGGAACUGUGAGUGGAGCGGUGAAAUGCGUUGAUAUUCACAGGAACUCCGGUGGCGAAGGCGGCUCGCUGGAUCUUUUCUGACGCUGAGGCGCGAAAGCUAGGGGAGCAAAC
rnacentral:rRNA from 2 species